AGAACUUGAAACCGUGUGCUUACAAGUAGUCAGAGCCCGUUAAUGGGUGAUGGCGUGCCUUUUGUAGAAUGAACCGGCGAGUUACGAUCUGAUGCAAGGUUAAGCAGAAAAUGUGGAGCCGUAGCGAAAGCGAGUCUGAAUAGGGCGAAUGAGUAUUUGGUCGUAGACCCGAAACCAGGUGAUCUACCCUUGGUCAGGUUGAAGUUCAGGUAACACUGAAUGGAGGACCGAACCGACUUACGUUGAAAAGUGAGCGGAUGAACUGAGGGUAGCGGAGAAAUUCCAAUCGAACUUGGAGAUAGCUGGUUCUCUCCGAAAUAGCUUUAGGGCUAGCCUCAAGUGAUGAUUAUUGGAGGUAGAGCACUGUUUGGACGAGGGGCCCCUCUCGGGUUACCGAAUUCAGACAAACUCCGAAUGCCAAAUAAUUUAACUUGGGAGUCAGAAUGUGGGUGAUAAGGUCCAUAUUCGAAAGGGAAACAGCCCAGACCACCAGCUAAGGUCCCAAAAUAUAUGUUAAGUGGAAAAGGAUGUGGCGUUGCCCAGACAACUAGGAUGUUGGCUUAGAAGCAGCCAUCAUUUAAAGAGUGCGUAAUAGCUCACUAGUCGAGUGACACUGCGCCGAAAAUGUACCGGGGCUAAACAUAUUACCGAAGCUGUGGAUUGUCCUUUGGACAAUGGUAGGAGAGCGUUCUAAGGGCGUUGAAGCAUGAUCGCAAGGACAUGUGGAGCGCUUAGAAGUGAGAAUGCCGGUGUGAGUAGCGAAAGACGGGUGAGAAUCCCGUCCACCGAUUGACUAAGGUUUCCAGAGGAAGGCUCGUCCGCUCUGGGUUAGUCGGGUCCUAAGCUGAGGCCGACAGGCGUAGGCGAUGGAUAACAGGUUGAUAUUCCUGUACCACCAUUAUUCGUUUUAAGCGAUGGGGGGACGCAGUAGGAUAGGCGAAGCGUGCUGUUGGAGUGCACGUCCAAGCAGUGAGAUUGAGUGUUAGGCAAAUCCGGCACUCUUAAGAUUGAG
rnacentral:rRNA from 1 species